rnacentral:rRNA from 1 species
AGAGUUUGAUUAUGGCUCAGGAUGAACGCUGGCGGCGUGCCUAACACAUGCAAGUCGAACGGGGUUACGCGCUGAUGAAGCUUCGGCGGAAUCUUGUGUAAACUUAGUGGCGGACGGGUGAGUAACGCGUGGGCAACCUGCCCUGUACUGGGGGAUAGCAGCUGGAAACGGCUGGUAAUACCGCAUAAGCGCACAGCACCGCAUGGUGCAGUGUGAAAAGCUCCGACGGUACAGGAUGGGCCCGCGUCCGAUUAGCCAGUUGGCGGGGUAACGGCCCACCAAAGCGACGAUCGGUAGCCGGCCUGAGAGGGCGGACGGCCACAUUGGGACUGAGACACGGCCCAGACUCCUACGGGAGGCAGCAGUGGGGGAUAUUGCACAAUGGGGGAAACCCUGAUGCAGCGACGCCGCGUGGGUGAAGAAGUAUUUCGGUAUGUAAAGCCCUAUCAGCAGGGACGAUGAUGACGGUACCUGAGUAAGAAGCCCCGGCUAACUACGUGCCAGCCGCCGC